rnacentral:rRNA from 1 species
GACGAACGCUGGCGGCGUGCCUAAUACAUGCAAGUAGAACGCUGAAGAGAGGAGCCUGCUCUUCUUGGCUGAGUUGCGAACGGGUGAGUAACGCGUAGGUAACCUGCCUUGUAGCGGGGGAUAACUAUUGGAAACGAUAGCUAAUACCGCAUAACAAUGGAUGACACAUGUCAUUUAUUUGAAAGGGGCAAUUGUUCCACUACAAGAUGGACCUGCGUUGUAUUAGCUAGUAGGUGAGGUAAUGGCUCACCUAGGCGACGAUACAUAGCCGACCUGAGAGGGUGAUCGGCCACACUGGGACUGAGACACGGCCCAGACUCCUACGGGAGGCAGCAGUAGGGAAUCUUCGGCAAUGGGGGCAACCCUGACCGAGCAACGCCGCGUGAGUGAAGAAGGUUUUCGGAUCGUAAAGCUCUGUUGUAAGUCAAGAACGGGUGUGAGAGUGGAAAGUUCACACUGUGACGGUAGCUUACCAGAAAGGGACGGCUAACUACGUG